CUAUGUUCCAAGAUAGUGACUCCACACAACCUGGAAGCUCGGGAGAUUCUUAGAGGCCACAGAAGAUUAGCCACGCCUGAAGGGAAGACGAAGUUGGCCCGAGGUGCAGGCAUAGCCCUCUUCUGAAAUUCCACCCUACUAACCGUCCCAUACUUUGGGGAUGAAUCGCACUAGCUGGAUGAAGAAAUGAGGAAUAAUGCGGCGUGCACAGUCAACUCCUUGCAAGACUCUGGCGGCGAGGAUGGGAUUCCCCGAGCUGGACUCUGCCCAGCGCACCAGGCUUAGGUUAUUGGCCUUUCCUGGCAGGAGCAUGCCGUGGUAGCUGCAGAUCCGGGAUCCUGCAGAGGCAGCAGCCGUGCUGGGCAGCUGUGGGAUACGUUUAGAGCAAUCGUUUCUUGGCAUCUAUUGUGUUUAAGAGCAGAAGACACCAGAUGUGGUGUUUCACUUAUCCAGUGUUCGGCUUCUCCAUUUGAAGACUCUCCAGUGAUCAUGGCCGCCUAUCGCUCAUACUUUGUCAGCUGGCGUGCCCGGAUCAACACCUUAGAACACAGGAAAAGCCCACUGAAUCCCUCUCUUCUCUCUCGUGUUAGCUCCCCACAUAAUACUGCCAAAUGGUAGAGCAUGAAUCAAAUGCUCCCUGUCCUCCAUAGAGGUGGACACUGGUGAAGCUGGCCCAGACCAUCGAACAUUCCCAACAAGCUCAAUGCGACAUUCUGGGAUUUUGCAGAUGUAUCUGUGUCUGUCCAGUUUUUGACAAUGCAGUUGUAGGGCAGGGUGGUGACACAGAGGUGUGCAGGGGACUAGUUGUGGUUUUUCUCCCUGUGA